UACGUAGGGGCCAAGCGUUGUCCGGAGUUACUGGGCGUAAAGCGUGCGCAGGCGGCUCGUUGCGCCCGACGUGAAAGCCCCCGGCUCAACCGGGGAGGGUCGUCGGGGACGGGCGAGCUUGAGGGUGGCAGGGGCUGGUGGAACUCCCGGUGUAGUGGUGAAAUGCGUAGAGAUCGGGAAGAACACCCGUGGCGAAGGCGGCCAGCUGGGCCACACCUGACGCUGAGGCACGAAGGCGUGGGGAGCGAACGGG
rnacentral:rRNA from 1 species